rfam:Picea glauca, whole genome shotgun sequence.
AUGUAAUUUAAUGCCUACAUCGUUAAUGCAUUGGAUCCCAUUAGAACUACACAGUUAAGCAUGCUUGGGAUAGAGUAGUACUAGAUGGGUGACCUCUCGGGAAGUCCUAGUAUUUUACAUG